AACAGGGUAAGGAACUUGGUUCCUCGAAUAACUUCUGGCACAGACAUCUGAGGGCAUGGCCGUCUACGAAGAAAAUGUAGCCAUUGGUGCCAUCUAUCGACCACAGGCAAAGAUUGGCGAUCCGUUAGAUACCGACCGAGUUAUAGGCAAAACUUGGUGCAAAAAUGAGGAAAAUUUUACAUUUUCUCAAACAGGGUAAGGAACUUGGUUCCUCGCAUAACUUCUGGCACAGACAUCUGAGGGCAUGGCCGUCCACGAAGAAAAUGUAGCCAUUGGUGCCAUCUAUCGACCACAGGCAAAGAUUGGAGAUCCGUUGGAUACCGACCGAGUUAUAGGCAAAACUUGGUGCAAAAAUGAGGAAAAUUUUACAUUUUCUCAAACAGGGUAAGGAACUUGGUUCCUCGAAUAACUUCUGGCACAGACAUCUGAGGGCAUGGCCGUCUACGAAGAAAAUGUAGCCAUUGGUGCCAUCUAUCGACCACAGGUUAAAGAUUGGCGAUCCGUUGGAUACCGACCGAGUUAUAGGCAAAACUUGGUGCGAAAAUGGGCCUUAGUGGAUUGACAAAUUUAUAGAUUUUUUCAAUUUUUUUCAUUAUUUUUUACCUUUUUUUAAUUUAAAGCAUUGUUUGAGUGAAAAGGAACUUAUUGCAACAAU